UACGUAUGGGGCAAGCGUUAUCCGGAUUUACUGGGUGUAAAGGGAGCGUAGGCGGCGGGGCAAGCCUGAUGUGAAAGCCCGGGGCUCAACCCCGGGACUGCAUUGGGAACUGCCCUGCUGGAGUGCCGGAGGGGCAGGCGGAAUUCCUAGUGUAGCGGUGAAAUGCGUAGAUAUUAGGAGGAACACCAGUGGCGAAAGCGGCUCUCUGGCCUGUAACUGACACUGAGGCUCGAAAGCGUGGGGAGCAAACAGG
rnacentral:rRNA from 1 species